rnacentral:rRNA from 1 species
AGUGAACGCUGGCGGCAGGCCUAACACAUGCAAGUCGAGCGGCAGCGGGUCCCCGCGAGGGGAUGCCGGCGAGCGGCGGACGGGUGAGGAACACAUCGGAAUCUGCCUGGUUGUGGGGGAUAACGUAGGGAACUUACGCUAAUACCGCAUGCGACCCUGAGUCGACGGACUGGGGGUGAAAGUGAGGGACCUUCGGGCCUCACGCGACCAGAUGAGCCGAUGUCGGANAGCUAGUUGGCGGGGUAACGGCCCGCCAAGGCGACGAUCCGUAGCUGGUCUGAGAGGAUGAUCAGCCACACUGGGACUGAGACACGGCCCAGACUCCUACGGGAGGCAGCAGUGGGAAUCUUGGACAAUGGGCGCAAGCCUGAU